GGGGAUGCAUUAGAUCGCCGGACUAGUACCUUAAAAACUGCAAGCCGACUUUGACCUACAGUCGUAAAACAGAGGUUAAAAACAUAAAUGCUAAUAAACAAGCAUUAAUCGCUGCUCUGAAAAGAGAGAAAGAAGCAAUUCUGGCUCAACUUUUUGGAGCGCGACCAACUUACGCACUCAAUUAUUUGAACGCGUAAUUGGCAUCCAGUAACUCUUUUCUUGGCGGGAUUUAUUGGGUGUAAACACAGUCAGGAUGCAAAUAGUUGAGUUUGACGUUCUUAACUAUUGAAGCCUAAUACGUCUCGUCAUAUCUUUCCGGUCAGUUGGAUCAGGGUAUGAUUAAACCAAUAAGCUGACUACGCUUGUAGAUGUUUUUAGAGUUCUAUUUCGCACGAGGGCUCACUACCCUCCAUCUCCACAA
rnacentral:tmRNA from 2 species